AAUCCAAGCUCAGUCCGUUGGUAUGCCCCAUGGCUGGAUUUGCUUGCUUUGCUGUGUACUGGAGGUGCUCAAUGAAAUCCGUCAGUUUGCUCUUGGUCUUGGAGGAUUACGGAAGAGGAUAUGUAGAUCCUUCCAAUCCCUAGCAAUGUACUAGAAGUUAUAAAUGGUGGUCAGUAUCAGCCACUACAUGUCGGAGCUGUUGCGGGAGCACCAGAAGCUUGUCCUGUUUCACGCAGGUGCUACCAAUCUACAUCAAGCUGUUGGGCCACGAGAUAAUGCGGGUGUCCUCCUUGCUUAAGCAACAUCAUGGUGGGGACCUUCAAAG